GCAGGAAACGAAUGAAUUGAUGACCUUAGAUAGUCAUCGAGAAAGGAUCUUAGAGAUCAAUUUUAUGACCCCAUUCUUGAUGCUUAUCGAGCGGUAGUCUCAGACAGAGAAAUAAUUAUUUGUCUUCGGAAUUAGAGAGAUGAAAGUGUGAUUCAUCUUUGAUAGGUCUGCCUUAGAGUAGUGGAAGUCAUAGAAAACCUUCAAAAUAUCCCCC
rnacentral:lncRNA from 1 species